rnacentral:lncRNA from 1 species
GGGGGUGCGCGGACCGAGGGGGGCCUGGCGCGCCCCGCCGCCGUUCCGAGUUGGGGGGUUUCUGUGUUGUGGGUCCGGGAAGAAGCGAGCGUGGAAAGGUGCCGGGUUCUCGAACGCUGUUUCUGUCCACUGCCACCCUCCUCCCCGUUCUGGGAGUGGGAUUAAGUCGUGUCUGUGGGUCUGGCCAUCUCCGGAGUCUGCAGCUUGGGGCCGAUUCCUCGGUCUCUACCUCCUGUUGCAGGUCUUUUUCGGGCUCUGUGGCUUCUUUGGUUCACGCGUCUCCCGACACGCAUACGCACAGUCCUGAACAUCUUGGGCAGAUAAAGGAACUUCAACUUCAUCUUGUGCUUUGGGAGAGAUGGUGGAGCAAAGAGGGGAGGCCAGAGAGAUUUUGCGGCUUCUUCAGUUCAGCAUGUCAAAACACUAUACUUGGGAUGUUGAUUUCUGAGCCCCAACAAUACUGAUUUCCAGACCAGACUUUAGGCAAAGAAAGAACAGACUUCAAGCAAACUUUUCUCUACUGAAUAGGAUUAUAUAUUUUAUCACCUUGUGAAGAAUUUCAUCAGAAACAACAUCUCAUUGCAUAUUUGCAUCUUUUCUUGAAAAUUCCUCAAAUAUAUCUAUUGUGGGCAAUUACAUGAAUUCAUCUUUAUUUUUUGGCUACUUAUGCUUACACAGAACUGAUACUCAAAGCCAAUGUGAGAAUUAGAACUCACAAAAAUGAUCACUUUUUUGAAAGGUCCUUAAUCAUUCAACAGAGACAUAAUAACUUUAUUGGAUGGAGCAAUACUUCUUGCUAAUCAGCAUAUACACACCCAGUGACCUUGCAUGAAGAAGCAGCCUGUCUGCAGAAGAUUGCAUCUCAUCUAUACAAAGCAGGAGUGAUGUUGUCAAUGUGUGUGUGUGCAUGCAUUUAUGUAUCUGUAUGCUUGUGCAGAGAGGGGAAGAUGGGGGAGGGGAUGUGGCUUUGUUACUUAGCUUGCUUGAUUUUUAUCCACAGUUAUUAAGAGGUAAAACAUUGUAGCUCAACCCCUAGAAGUGGUCGUUUGCUUUACAGAGAGGAAAAUCUCUGCCCCCUUACCAUGGCUUGCAUUUCCAGCCCCAAAAGGCAAAAACAGGGAGCACGUAACUCAGUGGAAUCAAUAGCACGACCAGAAAGUCAAUUCAGUCAUAUGAUGGUGGAUCAGUAUCAUCAUUGUAAAGGAGAGGAGAUCACUGUACUGUCAGAUGCAUCACUCUGACUUUCCCCCAUCACUGUGGAAAAAGGAGGGAAAAAAGCCUUCAAUCAUAAUAGGAAAGGUAAACAGUUUUUCAAACUUACAAACAUAUGUACAUGUCUUCCUCUGUAUCAUUUCAUGUAUGUUGUUUUUAUGUAUGUACCUGUACAAAAAGAUGUAAAUAUCACUUAACCUUGAGUAAUAUAAUAAUACAUGUGAAUUCUAAUUUUAGUUCCACUAAGUAUUAAUAAUUAAUGGUAACUUCGUUGAGUGUGAGAAUUCCACAAGGUUGCGUUAGAAUUCUGAAUGACAUUUUGUUUUUGCUUUAUUGGGCUUUGAUAUGUCAGACAAGAGAAUUCAACUUUUCUCCUGUGUGAAUGAAUUCAAUAGUCUGUUGAGAGAGAUGCCAGUUUUUAGGUUGCAUCCACCAUUUUUAUUUUUAGCUCCAUCUGUUGUCUUUAAUCAAGUUGCUGUUAAAACUCUGAUAAAAUACUUGGUUUGUAGCAUUGGUAUUGUCCCCACCAGCUUCCCUAAAAUGAGCGCUCCGAUUCUAAUCCCCAAAGAUGUUUGAAUUUGUCUCCAGUUGACAUCCAAAAGUCUCAUCUUCCUGGAUUUCCUUCCUCCUCUUGCCCCCUCUGCCCUUUCCCACUAUCCCAGUUCCUAGCAUCUCCCUGACCCUUGGGUUAGAGCCCAGGGAGAUGGACCACUGAAUCCAACCUGGGAAAAUGACAGGAAGUACGUGCAUUCUUCAAAGUGAGGCAUUUGCUGUUAUUGAGCAUCUAUUUUAACAUAACUCAGAUGCAGUGGUAUUAAUUUGUAUAUGAAUAUUUCAUUUAAUAAUAAUGAUUGAGACUGUCCUCUAUAUCAGAGGUAAGCAUAUACAGUACAGCCUGUUCUUUAACUCCUUUUUCCUCACCUGACUCAAUUUUCUGUUGAUUAAAUGUUAGACUGAGAAUGAAAGUAUACUUGUUAGAUUUGGCUACUUAUUGAAAGCUGCAGUUUUGGCUAGGCAUAGUGUGGCUUAUACCUGUAAUCCCAGCACACUGGAAGGCUGA